AUUUAGAAACUAAAUCCUUUUAUGGGGGCGGAAAUCAUAAAUGCCCCUAUUGUUGUGUAAUUUUUAAAAUAAAAAUCUAAUUUAACGAAUCAAAAUUUCUUCUUUUAAUUUUUUCUUAUCUCCCGCCUCUCAGCUUCUUCUCUUCAUCCUCUCAAACAUGAUGAUUGCCUAAUUCUCAGAGGAUCUCUUUGCUCUCCAGUGGCGAAUUUGAUUGACAUAUAUUACUUCUCUCGAUUUCAUUAGCAGUGAAUCUAAUUUGUUCACUUCUCAGCUUUAGCGAAUCUGCUCAUUUAGGUUUCUGAUUUCACUUUAUUUCUCAUGAGUUCUUCUUUCAGAUUAAUUUUUAGGGUUUAAUGGUUUAUGUUUCAAUUUCUUCUCAAUAGAUCGCUACUCAACCAUAGAUUGUUGCUCUUUCAGAUUCCGUUGCAACCACAAACUAAACAGAUACGUAGAAGUUUUUUUGUGCAUUUUGCAAUAUUUGCUUGUCUAACUAGAAAAAAGUUGUAGUUAGGUAACUCUUGCUGAACAUUACAGAUAAUCAGCUUUUGUUUGAAGUGAAUGCGGAGCUCUAUCUAUAUCUUAAUCACUUGUGUCUUCAUGGAAAAAAAAUGCAUCAAUAAAAUGAUAGUGAAUUUGUGACCACAUGUGCUAUAAUCCAAACAGAAACUAUAUCUUAAUCACUCCACUUAAAUAUCAAUUUGUCCAUUGAAUUUACAUGCAAUGAUCAAUGAACACCAUAGUUGCAUGAGUUAGAUCAUGGUCGUUGAUGUUUACUAAUACAUAUUAACUUUCUUGUUGAUUACAUGCCUUGUGCUAUGGUUGGAGAAUCUUUUAUUGGAAAGGAAUUGAUGUGAGAAGCUACAAUGGUUUUUGUGUUGCACACAAGGUCCUGAAUUUUAGUUCUAGGAGUCUUUGGUGGGCUACUUACGGAGCUAUUUCUGGUCUAUUUUUCUAGUCUGCUGCAGUUUCUAGCAACUGCUGCUUCCUGCAAUCCCUGUUUCUGUUCAGCUGUUGCUAUUUCUACAGGCUGCUGUUUUUGUCUUAGAUCAACAAAAACUUAUUGUGUAAGCUUUGCUCAACCGGGCUAGCAAGUGAUGUCAUCAUUAAAGUUGGAGAAAUAUCCUUCCAUCUCCACAAGUUGGAAACCUUGAAGGGACAACUGAAGCAAUCGCUAAAUGAUGAUAGUUCACGACAAAGUCAGACUGUUGACAUUGAAACUUGUGACUAUUCGCUUCCUAAAACCUAUUUUGAUAAAGUAUGCAUUUUACAUUCCCAUUGUUGGUGCUGUAAUUUGGGCAUCUUCUUGGGCAGAUAACAUGUUGGAUAUGGACUAGAGAGACGAUCAACUAAAAAGAGAAUCAAGUAUUCAAAAGCAGCUUUAAACCAAUUGUUCAAAUUUGAGUUGUGUUUGCUUUCGUUGUGGAAUCGAGAUCAUUACAAGGAUAUUCAUCAACAUUGAACCUAAAUGUACUUUGAUGUUUACCUGUAAUUGAAAAUGAUCUUUUACAUAUAAAUAUGUGGUUCUUUGGCUUAA